rnacentral:rRNA from 1 species
AGUCGACGGCAGCACGGAGCUUGCUCUGGUGGCGAGUGGCGAACGGGUGAGUAAUAUAUCGGAACGUACCCUAGAGUGGGGGAUAACGUAGCGAAAGUUACGCUAAUACCGCAUACGAUCUAAGGAUGAAAGUGGGGGAUCGCAAGACCUCAUGCUCGUGGAGCGGCCGAUAUCUGAUUAGCUAGUUGGUAGGGUAAAAGCCUACCAAGGCAUCGAUCAGUAGCUGGUCUGAGAGGACGACCAGCCACACUGGAACUGAGACACGGUCCAGACUCCUACGGGAGGCAGCAGUGGGGAAUUUUGGACAAUGGGCGAAAGCCUGAUCCAGCAAUGCCGCGUGAGUGAAGAAGGCCUUCGGGUUGUAAAGCUCUUUUGUCAGGGAAGAAACGGUGAAAGCUAAUAUCUUUUGCUAAUGACGGUACCUGAAGAAUAAGCACCGGCUAACUACGUGCCAGCAGCCGCGGUAAUACGUAGGGUGCAAGCGUUAAUCGGAAUUACUGGGCGUAAAGCGUG